UACAGAGGUCUCAAGCGUUGUUCGGAAUCACUGGGCGUAAAGCGUGCGUAGGCUGUUUCGUAAGUCGUGUGUGAAAGGCGCGGGCUCAACCCGCGGACGGCACAUGAUACUGCGAGACUAGAGUAAUGGAGGGGGAACCGGAAUUCUCGGUGUAGCAGCGAAAUGCGUAGAUAUCGAGAGGAACACUCGUGGCGAAGGCGGGUUCCUGGACAUUAACUGACGCUGAGGCACGAAGGCCAGGGGAGCGAAAGGG
rnacentral:rRNA from 1 species